rnacentral:rRNA from 1 species
CAGGCUGCAACUCGCCUGCAUGAAGUCGGAAUUGCUAGUAAUCGCAGAUCAGCAUGCUGCGGUAAAUACGUUCCCGGGCCUUGUACACACCGCCCGUCACACCAUGGGAGUCGGUAACACCCGAAGUCGGUAGCCUAACCGUAAGGAGGGCGCCGCCGAAGGUGGGAUUGAUGACUGGGGUGAAGUCGUAACAAGGUACC